GGCCCCACCCCGCAGUCCCCCGAUGGCGCCAUAAUUGUGCAGGGCAGCUCUCCGCUCUGCCGAGCCAGUGCGACCCGAUCAGUAGACGCCAAGCGUCUGAAGGGCAACUCUUCGCCCCGCCGUCCCCAGCCGGCACCCUCCGUAGGCGCCACGAUUCUGAAGAGCAGUUCUCCGCCCCGUAAAACUUGGACCCCCAUCCUUCGCAAGCGCCAUGAUGGUGAAGGGCAGCUCUUCACUUCGCCAAGCUCAAGCGACGCCUUCUGUCGGCCCCAAGAUGGUAAAAGUCAUCUUUCCGCCCCUUCCAGCCCAGGCGACGCCUUCUGCUGGCGCCACCAUUAGGAAGGGCAACUCUCUGCCUCGCGGUGCCCGGACCCGGUCUUCCGCCAGGGCCAUGAUUGUCAAGGGCAGCUCUCCGCACCGCAGAGCCCAGGCGACGCCUUCGGCCGGCGUCACAGUUGUGAACGACAGUUUCCCCCCCUCAAAUCCCAGGCAACGUCUCUCGCCGGCCACAAACUCGUGAACGACAGAGGUCUUUUCAGUAGUCUCCGCACAGCGCCUUUCGCUGGCGCCAUGAUGAUGAAGGGCAGCUAUUCGCCCCCUGAAGCCGAGGCGAUCCCCUUGGACGCCUUGUUUGUGGAGGGCAAGCGUCAGCUCGGCGGUUGCCGCGCAGUGCCUUCGCCCUGCACCAUGACUGAGGGCCAGCCCUCCGCCCCUUAGGGAGGAGGUGACGUAUUGCACGCACGCCAUGUUUGUGAAGGGCAGGAGUCUCCUCCCCGGUAUCUGCGCAGCUCCCUUCCUCGCCGCCGUGCUUCGAGGGGCAGUUGACGGUUCUAUGGGGUCGAAUCGUCACGGCGCGGGGCAGCUGCCUCUCCUCCGCCCUCCGGGGACGGAAGAGAAAGCGUUCUUGUCCUCGGGUAUAUUCCUAUUCCACCAAAGCUUCCGCGUCUUGUGUACAAGACAGAUGGUGACCUCCCUGAGCUCGUGGGACAGUGAUCUAUGACUCCAAACAGAAUGGGUCCUUCAGUCUUCGGCACGGACGCAAUAGCUUCUGGUUGUUUCCACCGCUCCUAACGUAUGAAGGGGAGCAGAGGGAGAGAGAGGCUCUUUCCACAGCCCUGCAGAUGACUCACGGAGCAGACUUUUCCUGUCCUCACUACGGGAGGACCGCAAGGCGUACAAGCUCAGUGUUAGGAGCUUGGUGCCACCUCCAGCCUCAGCGCUCUGCCCUCCCUCCUCCGCCUGCUUUGUGCACUGUCCAGCUGUCACAAGCAGACACUGCUCCCUUCCCAGCAGCCCCGCUCAGGCCAACUCGAAUGCUGUGCCCAGCACUGAUACAGGCUACACAUGAAGUACAGAAUACAGCUUUUGGGGGGCUUUUAUAAAAGUUUAUUUUGCCAUUUACCUAGAAGCAAAACUAGUGAAAAUUAAAGUAUAAAAAUAAAUACAAUUUACAUUAAUGGACAUUCCACACAAAGUAAAAAUAAGAAUAAAAGUAAUGUAUAUAAAUAAAACUUAAGAAACAAAACAGUCUGGCACUUUUAUGAGAAAAACUUGUGAACAUUUAAAAAAUAUGGAAAACACUUGCUUUUACUCUCAAACACACUCAGAUUUCUCAUUCUUAAUCUAAAAACUAGUUUUACCUUUUUCCAAAACAUACUAUUUGUUUUAUCCAAUUUGCAUAUAUACGCACAAAACUGUUAGCAUCUAUUCUUCUUACUGGAGAGACCCACAAUGAUAGGAAUAAGCUGUAUCCUGAGUUUUCCGAAUGAUAAAGCACAGUUCAUCGUUAAAAGGAUAAUUUUAUAUACUUGGCCUGUAAAUAAAAAAUUGGUAACUUAA